GAUGAACGCUAGCGGCAGGCUUAACACAUGCAAGUCGAGGGGCAGCACGGGUAGCAAUACCUGGUGGCGACCGGCGCAAGGGUGCGUAACGCGUGAGCAACAUGCCCUAUACAGGGGGAUAAUCCAGGGAAACUUGGUCUAAUAUCCCAUAGUAUUUAGAGGAGGCAUCUUCUAUAAAUUAAAGCUUCGGUGGUAUAGGAUUGGCUCGCGUGACAUUAGCUAGAUGGUGAGGUAACGGCUCACCAUGGCAAUGAUGUCUAGGGGUUCUGAGAGGAAGGCCCCCCACACUGGGACUGAGACACGGCUCAGACUCCUACGGGAGGCAGCAGUGAGGAAUAUUGGACAAUGGAUGGAAAUCUGAUCCAGCCAUGCCGCGUGCAGGAAGACAGCCCUAUGGGUUGUAAACUGCUUUUAUAUGGGAGCAAUAAGGUCUACGUGUAGACUGAUGAGAGUACCAUAUGAAUAAG
rnacentral:rRNA from 1 species